ensembl:lncRNA
CUUUCCGUGGAGAGACUAUCAACUCCAUCUGUCACAAAACUUCAGGCUAAAUCUCUGGUGAAGCCGAGGCAGCCGGGGCUCCAGUACACACAGCGUUCGGCUGUCCGCCUCUCCCCAGGGUCCCGGGGCUAUUGACUUUAUGGAUCAGAAUCACCAUCAUGAGUGUGGGAAGCAUGACCUCAAGUUUCAGCAAGAAGACAACUUGGGAAAGGAUUCUGUAGACACUGAGCCCAUUGUAGAGAGCUGUGGGACCCAGAGAUUUUCAUGAGAGUGAACAUGCCCUUCGAGAUCAAAGCAGAUUGUCUUCUAAGAGGCGUCCAGUGGGCGAUCCUCUGAAAAGUGACCCACUGUUCAGCAUAGCUCUUUCCAGCACACUGAAUUGGAGCCAGCUGGUGCCUGGAACGUACCUUAGCAAGAUUGUAUCCUCUGGGCCUAGUCAGUCAGUGCUUGCUGUUUCUGAGAAGGAUAUUCAUGAGCUGCUGCACUUCAGGGAUACUAAUUGGGAUUUGACGUGAAAUUUUUACCCUGACAUGUGCAUCACCUAAGGAGGAUGGCAACAACUGGCAUCAAGCAAAAGUGUGUUUUGGUUUUUCCCCAUAUAGUG